rnacentral:rRNA from 1 species
UCACGAGGAUCCUACUGUCUCCCCCCUCUAAUCAGUGAAACUGAUCUCCCCGUGAAGAAGCGGGGAUAUACAUAUAAGACGAGAAGACCCCAUGGAGCUUUAAACCUGACAGCACCCGCUCAUUCUAUACCCCAUUAUUUGCCCGACCCCUGUCUGCUCAGUUUUAGGUUGGGGUGACCACGGAGUAUAAAGUAACCUCCAUGAAGAAGGGGAUAUUUCCCUUAUUAGAGAACCACACUUCCAAGAACUAAUAAAUUAAUUUUCAAUGACCCGAUACCCGAUAAUCGAUCAACGAACCAAGUUACCCUGGGGAUAACAGCGCAAUCCACCCUGAAAGCCCUUAUUAACAGGUGGGUUUACGACCUCGAUGUUGGAUCAGGGUAUCCCAGUGGUGCAGCAGCUACUGAGGGUUCGUUUGUUCAACGAUUAAAACCCU